GCUAUUGUAGUGGAAUCGGUUAGCACAACAGAUCGGACAUCUGUUGAUGCCGGUUCGAGUCCCGCCUGAGGUU
rnacentral:tRNA from 1 species